AAUUCGAAGCAACGCGAAGAACCUUACCAGGUCUUGACAUCCCUGACACCCGAGAGAUCGGGCGUUCCCCUUCGGGGGACAGGGUGACAGGUGGUGCGAUGGUUGUCGUCAGCUCGUGUCGUGAGAUGUUGGGUUAAGUCCCGCAACGAGCGCAACCCUCGACCUUAGUUGCCAGCAUUCAGUUGGGCACUCUAAGGUGACUGCCGGCUAAAAGUCGGAGGAAGUGGGGAUGACGUCAAAUCAUCAUGCCCCUUAUGACCUGGGCUACACACGUGCUACAAUGGGCGGUACAAAGGGUCGCGAACCCGCGAGGGGGAGCCAAUCCCAAAAAAGCCGCUCUCAGUUCGGAUUGCAGGCUGCAACUCGCCUGCAUGAAGCCGGAAUCGCUAGUAAUCGCGGAUCAGCAUGCCGCGGUGAAUACGUUCCCGGGCCUU
rnacentral:rRNA from 1 species